rnacentral:lncRNA from 1 species
CACCACAGCCCAGGAGAGGUGGAGCCAUCAGGAUUUAGCGUGGUGUGAGUGCAAGCUCUUUUAGAAACAGCACCUUAAAAAUGAAGUGAUGAGUCGGGCAACCUACUGGUGACCUGGUAGGGGUAGAGGUGGGACGAGGCUGCCGAGACUCUAACGAUGAUAAUAAACAGAAUUAUAAAGCUGUCCACUAACUUCACAGAAGUUCUCUGUGGUUGUCUGACAUUUCAUAGAAUCAUAGAAUGGUUAGAGUUGGAAGGGACCUUAAAGAUCAUCAAGUUCCAACCCCCCUGCCCUGGGGGUAUUUCCUAGGUAAUAGGAAAGUCUCUUGCUUUGAUGAAUUUGUUACAGAUCACAUAUUACUGCUUUUUUCUAGUGUGUCCAAGCUUUCAAAAGCUCCAUCAAAGGAACAGGAAUCCUGUCCUUCCCAAAUACACUGCCAGGCGUCCCAGCAACGGAACCGGGAUAUUAAGAAGGUCUGAGCCUGGAGCUGGAAAGUUGUGUCUUCUACAGUACAAAAGGGAAACUGGGGAGUAGAAUUUAAUUCAUGACAGAAAUGAGCAGUGAGGAUGAGACCCUUCCCUCCACCUUUUCCCCGCCCUGGUAUCCUUCUGUUACCCUCCCAGUACCUACACUGUUUCACACAUGAAUGUAGAGGAACCUGGAUUCUAUUGCAUCAGACUUUUUUUUUUCUGCUCAAAAAUGUUGAUGUUCUUACUAAGUAAUUUGUGAGUUAUGCUGUCUUUGUCAGCUGACUAGUUCUAAAAAAAAAGAAACCAUGAAAUCACAAGAAAGAAGGUGCUUUUCACAGAAGUGCUGCCUUUCUGCUGAAAAUUGCUGUGUUGGGAGAUGUGCUGCGGGAGGGCUGCUGCCCUCGGGUUUUUCACGGAGUGAGACCCCUGCCUGAAUGCCAUCACCAGGAAUGUCUGCAUCUCUCUUCCUAUCUAAAGCAUCUCUCUGAGGAGGUUUUCCAGGACAAUUAUUAGCAGCCUCUGCACAUCUGUCCAGGCCAAGCCAUGGCACUUGCAGGGACAGAUCUCGAUGCAUCCAGUCCUCUGUGGUGCGAGCCUCACUCUGCACCUGCUCUCAUUUCAAAAACCCCAUUUCUGGCCGUGCAUUUGUUAUGACAAGUGCAGAAACAAUUUAAAAGAGACCAGAGUUAGCUCAAAACCUGCUUGCCGAAUGCCAGGGUUUUGGAUAAGUGGUUAGUCCCGCCAACAAGAUUCCCAUGAGAAGGUGAGAAGGGACGUCGGCUCCUCGAGAGUGGAUGUUGGGAUUUGAGGUGAGCUGGAGGAAGUUUAAAGAGAUGCAGGUACAGCAGGGAGGUGAGGGGGGAGAAGGGAAGGAGGGGACAAGCUGGGCAUCCAACCUCAAUUACCACCCUGGCUGACGUGUGAUCUCGGUGACUACGGGAUUACUCAGCACUGCCCUGGAAAGGAGGUGUGGGCCACACCAUCCCUGAUACAAUCUCUUUCACAUGACAGUUGCACAGGCGUUUUAUUUUGUUAGGGAAGAUCAGCCCGGGCAGAGUACAACUUUCUGCUGCAAAGCAGCAGAGAAUAGGGCAGAAAUUUGAAGACGGCAAAUGUAGAUCUCAAAAAAUGUCUUGAAAAACUGCCCAGGAAAUUUACCAACUGGUUUUGGCGUUCAGUUGUAGCCAACGGCCGUGACAAGUUGGAGACCUGUCGGGGUAAUGCCAAGAAAGACCAACCACGCAUUUUGGGCAGGAAACCUUCUGCUUGUGGGUCCCUGAGAUGUUUUGGAGGUAGGAAGCACAUGAGACCAAUUUUCAAGAGUUCAGUUGCAAGGGCCAGUUAGGGCAGCCGCUGGAUGUAACUGCCAGAUCAGAAUGCAGGAUAAAGACGCAGAAUGAGGAGUAAACAGUCAGAAGAACAAGCCCCAGCUCACUGCAACUUGCCAGUAUUUGCACCCAAUACAGAUGUUUGUAUUUAUGAAGGUAUGGGCUCCAACUACUACCUCCAACCCCAGCUCUCUGGCCAGGCCCAGCUCCAAUUUAAUCUCUGGUGCAUUCACCAAAGAUUAACUUGGUAGAUAAAGGUGGAACUAGAAAUAUUUGAAGCCUGAAAACCUGUUAGGGUACUUCUGUUAUGGAAAGAAAAAAUCCUUUUAAAACGUGAAAAGAAAAAGCAAGCGAGAAAAAAAAAAAUAAAAGAAAGAAAAAGUCCGAUGAUCCA